CCAGGGACACAGAAAUCCCAGGGACACAGAAUUCCAGAAUCCCCAAGGAUCCAGGAUCCCCAGGGACACAGAGUUGCAGGGACACAGAAUUCCAGAAUCCCAUGGACACAGAAUUGCAGGGACACAGAAUUGCAGGAUCCCCAGGGACACAGAAUUGCAGGAACACAGAAUUCCAGAAUCCCAUGGACACAGAAUUGCAGGGACACAGAAUUGCAGGAUCCUUUAUCCCCAGCCCUGGGCAGGGCUUGCAGGGGAGGCCAAUCCCCCGUUCUGCCCGUUCCAGGGAAGAAGAGGGAGUUCAGGUUCCAUCCCAUCAAGGAAUCCAUCGUGGAGGAGCCCGUGGACAUCACCCCCUUCCUGGAGCAGCUGGACGAGUCCCUGAAGGACAAAGUGCUGCAGCUGCAGAAGGGCAGUGACACGGAGGCGCAGUGCGAGGUCAUGCAGGAGAUCGUGGACCAGGUCCUGGAGGAGGAUUUUGACUCGGAGCAGCUCUCGGUGCUCGCCUCGUGCCUGCAGGAGCUGUUCAAGGCGCAUUUCCGCGGGGAGGUGCUGCCGGAGGAGAUCACCGAGGAGUCCCUGGAGGAGUCCGUGGGGAAGCCGCUGUACCUGAUAUUCCGGAACCUGUGCCAGAUGCAGGAGGACAACAGCGGCUUCUCUCUGCUGCUGGACCUGCUGUCCGAGCUCUACCAGAAGCAGCCCAAGAUCGGCUACCACCUGCUCUACUACCUGCGGGCCAGCAAGGCGGCGCUGGGCAGGAUGGGGCUCUACGAGUCGUUCGCCCAGGCCACGCAGCUGGGGGAGCUGCACACCUGCCUGAUGAUGGACAUGAAGGCGUGCCAGGAGGACGACGUGCGCCUGCUCUGCUUCCUGACGCCCUCCAUCUACAGCGAGGUGAGAGCUCACCUGGGCAGGUGUGCCCGGGGUCCUGCACAGGGGAGCCAGGGCCAGGUGUGCCCCAGAGUGCCAGGUGUGCCCCUCAGCCUGUCCCAGGUGUGCCCCUCAGUGCCAGGUGUGCCUCUGAACCCAUCCCAGGUGUGCCCCGGAGUGCCAGGUGUGCCCCUGAGCCCAUGCCAGGUGUGUCCUGAGUGCCAGGUGUGCCCCAGGCCCCGUCCCAGGCAUGUCCCAAAUCCCAGCAUCCAUCCCUCGGCACAUCCCAUUCCCCUGGAGCCGCUGCCGUUCCUGGCCCUGCUGUGAUGGAUUUUGGGAUUUUGGGGUUUUUGGGAAUCCCCCUCAGCCCCCCCAGCCUGCUGGGCUUUUGGGGUUUUUGGGAAUCCCCCUCAGCCUGCUGGGCUUUUGGGGUUUUUGGGAAUACCCCUUGAGCCUGCCAGGGUUUUGGGGUUUUUGGGAAUCCCCCUUGAGCCUGCCAGGGUUUUGGGACUUUGGGGUUUUGGGGUUUUUGGAAUCUCCCUGAGCCUGCAGGGAUUUUGGGUUUUUGGGAUUUUGGGGGAUGGAGCUGUGUGUGCCAGGUGCACAGGUGAGCCAGGUGCACAGGUACCAGGUGUGCCAGGUACCAGGUGCGCUGUGUCCCCAGCAAGGCAGCGCUGGGCAGGAUGGGGCUGUGUGUGCCAGGUGUGUGCCAGGUGCACAGGUGAUACAGAUGCCAGGUACCAGGUGUGCCAGGUGCACAGGUGCCAGGUGAGCCAGGUGCACAGGUGCCAGGUGCGCUGUGUCCCCAGCAAGGCGGCACUGGGCAGGAUGGGGCUGUAUGAGCCAGGUGUGUGCCAGAUGCACAGGUGAUCCAGGUACCAGGUGUCAGGUGUGCCAGGUGCACAGGUGCCAGGUGUGCCGGGUGCACAGGUGUGCCAGGUGCACAGGUGCCAGGUGCGCUGUGUCCCCAGCAAGGCGGCACUGGGCAGGAUGGGGCUGUAUGAGCCAGGUGUGUGCCAGAUGCACAGGUGAUCCAGGUACCAGGUGUCAGGUGUGCCAGGUGCACAGGUGCCAGGUGUGCCGGGUGCACAGGUGUGCCAGGUGCACAGGUGCCAGGUGCGCUGUGUCCCCAGCAAGGCGGCACUGGGCAGGAU
rnacentral:lncRNA from 12 species